ACGACAAACGGUCUUCGUUCGCGAACGCGAACGCAUCUACAAGCUAUAAAGGAAACAUCCUCUGUUGUUUCCUACUUGUCGUCCUCGGAGUUCUUCGUCUUCUUCGUCGGAUCCAUUAUACCCGAAACCCUUACGGAGGGCUCCACGAGCAAGUGGGCCCUCUGACUUUAAUCUUCGAGUUUGAGUUUUUGACGCUUGAUAUCGAGUUUCAUCUGCGAUUCGCUGUGCCGUUUUUUUUUUUUUGGAAAAAAAAAACAAAUUGAGAGGAUUGGUCUACCUACGUGUAUCAACAUUGUAAGAAUUUUCUUAGUGGACAGCGACGGUCUUGGGCUCCGCAGAGUCAACAAUCCUUCUAGUGCUAUCUCGUUCGGCCACAUCACGGCGGACGCACUCCCAGUCCAUCCGGAAGGUUAGAGAAAAGCAAGCACCAUUACAGGAAUAAUGAAGAGGGAGGCCGACGGUGGCGCCAUGACUGGCUGCGGCGGUCCCACGAGUCCGCACAAACGUUAUCGUCAGGGAGACGAUGAACUUCGACUUCUCAUACCCAGCAAAGUUGCCGGCUCGAUAAUCGGCAAGGGUGGUCAGAACAUCACCAAGCUGCGAAGUCAGUACAAAGCCUCAAUCAUUGUACCCGAUUGCCCCGGACCCGAACGGGUUCUGACUAUCAGCUCGGACCUCGACACCGUGCUUCAGGUGGUGAAUGAAGUUGUGCCUAAUCUCGAGGAGAAUGGCUCGAGACAUGGCAAUGACGAAAUCGACGUGCGCAUGCUCGUGCAUCAGAGCCAGGCCGGAUGCAUAAUCGGCAAGGGUGGUUUGAAGAUCAAGGAGCUCCGAGAGAAAACUGGAGCCAGGAUUAAGAUAUAUUCCAAUUGUUGUCCACACAGCACGGACCGUUUGGUUAGCAUCUGUGGCAAGCCUGCUACUUGCGUGGAGAGUAUUCGCGAGCUGGUAGCAACUAUUAAAACUUCGCCUCUGAAGGGUGUGAACAACCCUUAUGAUCCACACAAUUAUGACGACUUCUACGCCGACGAGUAUGGCGGCUACGGGGGUGGAGAAGGUCAGGGUAAGCCUGGCUUCGGCGGUUCGGGAGGUCGCGGUGGAGGCGGCGGCGGUGGUGGAGGUGGCGGCGGUGGCGGCGGUGGUGGCGGCGGUGUCGGUGGUAUGCCACCGCGUCGCGACGCUCGUGGCGGAGGACCUCCUGAUAUGAAUCGUGGAUUUGCUGCACCAUCUCCCAGGGGUGGACCUCGCGGUGGUGGCGGAGGUGGCAUGUCAGGGCCUCCUGAUCGUGGUUACGGGGGAAACUCGCGUGGAGGCGCUGGUGGCGGCGGGUACGAUGGUGGCAGGGGUGGCGGAUAUGCUGGAAAUAGAGGUGGACCGCCACCUUAUGGCGGCGGAAAUUACAAUAACAAUGGAUGGGGGAUGCAAGGUGGUGCACCCAAUGGUCUCGGAGGCGGUGGUAAUUCCGGGAUGAGUGGACCACCCCUUGGAAGUAACCAGGGUAAUCAAGGAAGCAUGGGCGGUGGCAAGACCAGUACUCAAGUCACCAUUCCCAAAGAUCUCGCGGGAGCUAUUAUUGGCAAAGGUGGCGCCAGGAUCAGAAAGAUCAGAUCUGACAGUGGUGCGGGCAUUACCAUAGACGAACCCCUGCCAGGAAGCAAUGAUCGCAUCAUUACUAUCAGUGGACUGCCUAAUCAGAUACAGAUGGCGCAGUACCUGUUGCAGCAAAGCGUGCACGAGAACGCGGACCACUACUAAAAAAAUUGGCGGCGAUGUAACCGAGAGCAUGAGGGAGCCAAAGAUGCGUUUGUGACUGUUUUUUUUUUUUUUUCUAAGAAUAUUUCAUGGGAAAACAGAAACACGAUUACUGAUAAAAAAUAGAAAACACAAAAAGAGGGAUCCGCACGGUUGUACAUGGGCGUGCGCAAUUUUGUGCUACGCGUGGAGAACAAGCCGUUUACACAAGGGUGGAACAAUUUUGCGCACGCCAACGCGUGCGAGAUCUUCGUCUUCCGGUUAGGAUUUUCGCAAGUAAGGAAGUGUCAAGAUUUAAUGGAAAAAUUGUAAGGGAAAUGCUGAUUACGGAGAGAGGUUGGAUCAAAGUAUCGAAGAGAAAGAGUAGCUUGAACACUUUGCGCUGCGGGAAUCCCGCUCACCGGGAAAAAUUAUUUUUUCAGAUAACAUUCAGUAGCCCCAACAGUUUGUAGAAUAUUAUUGCUUAUACUUAUUCUAGGAUCGCUCGGGCUAUUAUUUGACUACGCCCUUUUUUUUUAUUUUCGAUCCGUCUAGAGGUAGUUUCCACGUAUCAUUCUUAUCACCUUUUUUGACCUACGCACUUAUGUUAACGGGAGGCUUUCCACGAUAGCGCCAUGUUUCAAAUCGCAAGCUCACCUUUAGAAUCAAAUAUCGUUUCACUUACGUUUACGCAUUUUAUACGUGAUUUCAUUCGCGUCACACUGUAAAUACAAACUUCGAUUGAUUGUCCUAUCGAUCCAGUCAUUCCUUCAAAGUUAUUACUAUACAGGAUGUACUGAGAAGACACAAGAAGCGUUCCCGAGUAACGUGAAGAAUCCAGUGACAAAUAUAUUUUUUGAGUAUCAUUUUGAAAAGUGCGACAUGGCAAUGCCUUGGAAAAUGUUCCGAACGAAAACCGCCCCCACGAAUCAUAAAGCCGCGUUGAAUACGUCAUCUUCCCUUCGAAAAUUCCGUAGCAAUUUUUAUUUUUGUUUCUACGCUUCUCGAGCCUCUUAUCUUAACGCUGUCGAUUUUCAAAUGACUCACAAUACUAUAAACAGUCUCUUUAUUAACGCCAAAUAUCAGUCUACCGCGCAUACCUGUCUGCGCAUAGAGUGGUGGGGAUAAGACGGCUCGAGAUUAUAGAUACAAAAAUUGGCCAAUCGCAGGGAAGUAAAUGCCCAUGGGGCAGAAUUGUACAUAUAAAGAAAAAAUACCUUCCCGUCAUAUUCCCUCCCUAGCCUCCCGCCCCCAUGUACACUGUUUCUCUACUUGCAUUAUUAUUAUUAUUACUAUUAAUAAUAAGAAUAAAUAUGCACUAUUAUAUAAUCCAUCCCAGUAUAUAUUAUAUAUAUAAAUAUAUACUAAUGAUUAAAUGAAGAAGAAAAACCCCUUUACUCGUAGCGAACGCCAUGCGUCAUUAUUAAGAAGGUACAGAAUAACGAAUAAAGAUUAUUAAUGAUAACGAUAACGACGGAUAAUUAAGAAGAGAAAAGAGGAUAUACAAACGAGGAUUCAUGGUGAUUUAACGCGGUCGCAAGUCAAAGGUCGCUUCUAACGGUCGAGCCAAGUUUCAAUGUUUCACAUUUGCCUGCUAUUACGAGCCGUGAGAGGAUAACGUGUGUACGUUUUUAAAGCAGACGAAAUUACAAUAAAAGAAAAAGAGAAAUCAGUCUAGCGCCCGUUGUAUUAGCGUCCUCAAUUUUUUUGCGAAAAAUUUGAGAAACAUAUGAAGAACGCCAGAACGAUAGGAGAUAUAUACCGGAAGUGUCACAGACGGAAAGAGAAAGAGAUAACAUUUUCCAUGUAACAAUGGAAAGUAAAAUAUGAACAAAGAAAAGAGAAAGAACGAACGAUCAUCGUCGCGAUCCUCUUUCCUCUCGUUUAUACCAACAGCCAAUCAGCAUCCUUGUAUAUUUUUUUUUUUCAAUUUAUUAUCGUCCAUUCUCUCGAGUCUCUUAUUAUUGCAUACGUCUUUUACUUUCUUUCUACUUAAUCCUUUUUUUUCUGUUGUCGAUUUAAUCUCGUUCCUCCCUUCUUAUGUAUCAAGAGAUCAUACAAGUAGUAAAAGUUUUAUAGUAGUUUUGAUAUGCGAAGCAUUUGUUUGUUUUUUUUUCCUUUUUAAUCCCAAGCAUCAUUCGUAUUCUCUUUUUUAUUGAUACUUACUAAUUGGUACACACAUUGUUAUUGGCAGAACUCUGUUUCUUAGUUAUAAACAUUGUUAGUUUGAAUUUAUGUACUCUGGUUUUAUUCCUAGUAAAAUUGGAAACGUCUUCAAAACUGAAAUUAAUAUAAAAUAAUGAUUAACAGUGUUAACGAGCGUGUUCAGUGCUGGCUAUGUACACUGGAUAUGCACUCCGUAUGAGAACCGGCAAUGAAUGAUGAUAAUUGCGUUAAUAUAAUAAUUUGUAUUAAUUGUGAAUGUGAGAAUGCGAGAAUGCGUGAAACUAUUAUAAAGAGAGGGAUGAAUACACGAGGAUGAGAGUAAUAAAAAAAAAAUUUAACAGAUAGCACAGCAUAAACAAGGGAGGGACACGAAUAAAAAAUAAAUGAGAGACAGAGACCACAGAGACACUCGUUUGUAAACACGAUAAAAAUGUGUACCUAUUAUACAUACAAGCUUCGCUCAAAGUUGAUUCCCCCCUCCAAGAAAUAUGUUCCCAUAUUCGUGCCACCAUAUUUGAAUCAUUUGAACCAGUAGUGCGCAUGCGCACCUCAUUCUCUAAUUUGCGAAGUACGAAUAAUCGGGUGCGCUUUGAGCGUAGCGCCAUAAGAAUAUACAGUUUACAAUUCUUUGUAACGGAUCAUUUUUAUUUGUCGAAUAAAACGUUAGUACAAACGACUA